GAGUAGAGAGGGGAACAGAACAGUAACGUACAGCAACAUGGGGCAGUACAGUGGCUCUAUGGGUGUAACGUUGUUGUGGACUCUGCUGUGGAUAUCUAGAUGUGGUCAGGGACUCUCAGCUGAACAAUUAUCAAAGAAGAUAUUUUUCCUUGCCGAGACCAAUAACAGAGUCACUCUCCAAGUUUCCCCUGCAGUUCCGGAAGGGACAGCGCACCAAUGGAUGUGGACCUCACAUAAUGGCAGACACUCAAACACUUCAGUUGCCCUAAUCACUUCAUCCAUGAAUAGAAAUCCUUCAUGGAACAUACAGGCUCCUUUCUCACAAGGAACAGGAUAUGAUCUUUCUUUCCCCCAAGAAUUUGAAAUUGCUGGAGAGUUUGUGUUCAUGCAAACCAAACCAGCUUCAGUCGUUCUGGAGAGAUUUGAGGUGUUUGUGUUUAAAGUGACACCAAACUAUAAUGGUAAUCAAGUGUAUCUUGGUUCUGAUGUGAGUGUGCGUUGCGAGGUGUCCAGCCUACCAGAUGGGGCCACAUUUCAGUGGGAAAGAGAUGUAGAUUCCACUUCUAACACCACGUUGUUCUACAACAAAACAGCCCAUAUGAUCAUCCACACUGUCGAUCAGAAUUGCCAGGGGAGAUCCAACUGCAAUUUCAGACUGAAUGGAGAGUUGUUGUUUGUAGUUUAUACUACACUGAAUGUGCAAACAGGAAAUAUUUAUUAACAUGAAUGUAAUAUAUUAAUACAUGAAUUUACCAAAUGUUAAAUAUUCAGGAAUAUGGUCCUCAGUAAUACAAAGAUAAGAGUGAUACAAUUGCACUAUACAGGCAAACAAUAUCAUCAGCAUUUUCCCUUUAAUGUUUCUUUUUCCCAGACACAUUUGAUAAACCAUAUCGUCUGUUUCGAGAGAACAGCAACAGCAGUGAGGUGAAGUUGAUCUGCAGAUCUAGUAACAAAUACAGCAGAGCCGCAUGGACCAUGAGCAGAUCAGCAACAUCUGUUACUCUGACUUCAUCGGAAAAAAUCAGAAGGGACCGAUUCUCAUCUCCCCCAUUCAACGGAUAUGAUUUCCCACUGCAUGUCUCACCAGUGACAUUUGAGGAUAGUGGAACGUUCGCAUGUUUCUUUGAUAGCCAUACAUUCAGCUCGGUUAAACUCACAACCUUUCGAGUAUCUGAAUCUGGAGGGCCCCCUGGUGGCCAGCCGGUGGUGCUGACGUGUGAGUUGUCGGAGGUGAGCGGUGAGCCUGUGACCCUGGCCUGGAUGAGGAUGGAGGGGAGCAGGGGGCUGCUGGUCAAACAGGACGUCCUGACAGAGAGUCACCCCAACAGGAUGCUCAGUGUGACCCUGCCCAGCCUCCGUAGGGACCAGCUGCACUGGCAGUGUGGUGUUCACAGAGGGCAUGCUCAGAGCGACAGCCUCCCUGACCCUCACACUCCCCACACAGACAACAAUGUCUUCAAUGACAGGUCAUCAGACUGAUGAUCCUGUCACCAUCGUCAAGCGCACCUUCGCCUCAUGACACUCACCUGGACUCCAUCACCUCCUUAAUUAUCUUCCCUAUAUCUGUCUCUCCCCUUGGUUCUUUCCUCAGGUGUUUGACUGUUUCAUGUCGGUGUGGUGUUUGGGUUUUGUUUUUAUUGUUUUGUUUAUUUAUUUAUUCAAACACUCACUCCCUGUAAUUGCUUCCCGUCUCUCAGCGCACUCGUUAGGCUCUCAUGCCUCCGCCGGCUCGUUGGGCUCUCGCGCCUCUGCUGGAUCGCCUGGCUCUCGCACCUCUGCUGGAUCGCCUGGCUCUCACGCCCCCAGCCGGAGUGACAGGUUCCCGCGCCCCAGCCGGAGUGACAGGUCCCAAGCCCCAGACGGAGUGACAGGUUCCCACGCUUCAGACGGCAUGACCGGUUCGCUCCUGAUCCCCGGGUUCAUCCCUUUUGUCGGCGUCGGGGAGGGAGUACUGUCACGUAUACUCCCUCUCCGGCCUCUAGGUCAUCAGACUGCUGAUCCUGUCACCAUUGUCAAGCGCACCAGCGCCUCAUGACACUCACCUGGACUCCAUCACCUCCUUGAUUAUCUUCCCUAUAUCUCUCACUCCCCUUGAUUCUUUCCUCAGGUGUUAUUGACUGUUUCAUGUCAGUGUGUUUGUGUUUUGUGUUUUUUGUGUUUAUUUAUUAAAACACUCACUCCUUGUACUUGCUUCCCGACUCUCAGCGCACUCGUUACACUUAGCAAAUGGAGUCAGCUGUGUAGUAAGUAUUCACGUAUCUCAUAUCCCAGCAUGUUCUCUCUCAUACUCUUUGUUCAUGUCUUUUUAUUUACCACAGAUAUCCAUCUGCAGACUGUGGUCAUUGUGGCCUGCAUUGCUAUGGUUGUUGCUGGGGUCCUGGUUGGUGCUCUGGUGUUCUACCUGAAGAGGAAGAAGACAGCUGUGACGAACCUACCACUGACCCAGAAGAAUGACCCAGUCUACGAUAACAUCACAGAUCCACGAAGAGACCACGAGAGCCAGAAGUGUCGAACAGGGGAAGAUGAGAAUGAGGAAGUUCAUUACUCUGAAUUUGCUUUGCGUGAACCCAGGUUUGGUGAUCCCAACAGAGUCACAGCAGGGUCAAAUCAGGAAAAUGCUGUGAUCUAUUCAACUCUCAACAUAUAAGGAAACAUGUAUUUCAGAUGGAUAAAAUUACCAUGUUAAGUUUCAGGGAUUGUGUUCCUUAUUUUGACAAUUACUUAAUGUGUAUUAGUCUACAGAGAAAAUGAUACCACAAUACUGAUUGCUUUUGAAAUUAUGCUAUAUGCCAGUUGCCUUUAUUUUAAACCUAUGAGAUUUGUUCAAUUAGUUUAUUAUUCUGCUUUUGAUUCAUGUAUUUAAUGAUACAGUAAUAUAUGCUUACUAAGACUGCCGUGUAAAUACAGCAGCUAGCCCAAUUGGAGGGUUUAAAUUGUAGGAAGGCAAUUUUGGUCUGAAAUAUUUUGAUGGCUUUAACCUACAUUGCAGCCAUGGAUGUAAAUAAUAGUUUUAUAUGUUUGUAGUCUUUCAUGCAUGUGCAUGAAAAGAUAUAUGUUUAAAUAAAAAAUCGA